CCAGUGGUCAAGCAUGAAGUAUGGUUCUGUGAAAUAAUGAACUCUUUUCAGCUGAAUACAAGUCCAUGUUCUUCCUUUCACAGAUACAAGAUCACACCUGUAGACUGUAAAAUUGCCAGCCAUGAGGGUACAUCUCUAAUCAAGCACGUACAUGUACAGCCUUCGCAGAUUUAAGCUUACACCUGUAAUCUCAAGAGGACCCAUGACGAGGAUACAUCACUUGUUAUCAAACAGCCUUCUACUAUUGGCUUAUGCCUCUACCCCAAGACUUACUGAUGCAGGGUUCUUGUGUGGCUAUUCUGUGGAUAUGAAGAAUCUGUUGCAUCAGUUGAGGACCUGCUUGCCUGCAAGAAGGGGAACACUUGGUGUGACUCUGCAUUAGGACUGUUUAUGAAAAGAGCAAAUCCAUAGCAAUCUUUCUUCCACUUUAUCCCGCCACUACUUCACCCCCUGCGAAAAAUGCCCUUUGAGGAGAAAACUCAUUGCAUGUAGUUGGAAACUCUUGUACUUUUUUUAAAUUAGAAUGAAUUUAAGAUUUAUUUGGCUUCCACCCAUCAUAUUUACAUUGCUGUGGAUUUGCUUGGAGUUAUUUAUGUGACCAGCUCUAUCGAAAUCAGGAGUAAGUUGAGAAAUGACAGUUUAUCGAAGGGUGGCAUCAUUAAAGAAAACCUUUGAAGCGCAAACUGUCACAAAAAGAGCCUUAGCAGGUUUGACUUCACUUUCAAAGAGCUUGGCUUUUUCAGACCAUCUCUCAGCCAAGGGAGGAUGGGACUUCCAAAGAACUUGGUCUUCACAUGCUUGAUCUUUUGGAAACUAGUCAUGCACGUAAAAGCACAAAUUAAAUCUGAUAUUGGGCUUUCAUGUUAUGGCUGUUUGAAGUUCAUGGCCUCAAGCAUGUUGUCUGCAUCCAUCAAGGAUGUCAUUGGAAAAUAAAAGACUUGGAACUGAGACUGCUUUUUAUUGCUUAAAAGAAGUGUGUAACAUUCGGCAUUUAUUUCUGCUCUGUGGAAAUACUGGAGAACAUAUGGGGGGAGGGAAUUCUUUCCCAAAACAUCUUUUGGAUUUGAGAUUUGUCAGAAACUAUUCCAAAUGCUGAAGGUACUAAUAUACAAAUUGCAAUGCCAAUUACUUAAUGACUUAGUUCUAUUCCCACUUGUGAUUGUGAUAACUACAAUAACAAAAAGUCCACUUUUCCAUGUUGAAAGGAGAGCUGAGUGUUGUAAAUCUUGAAGUUUUGAUUUGGAUGGAGCAGGUCACAUCAUUGCUAAAGUCUUGAGGUUUUUUAAAGCUUUAACAGUGUUACACUUCACUAGUCACUGAAAAUGAAUAAAACAAAUGUAUGUGUAGUUUCUAGAAAAGAAUAAAAAAGUUUUUAGAUAAAGAACCAGGCACAUGUCUGUGAAGGGUUUAACUGGAUAGUUGCUUCAAGUAGCAUUAAGUAGCACGACUUUAAUUAAGUCAUCUAAUCAACAUUUUUUUUUUCGGGACAAGUUUUUUUUUUCCAGGUCAAGAUAAAAUGUGAAUUACAGACAUUUUUUUAAAUAAAUUGUUUUAAAACUGUUGGAAAGGUCUCAAUGCUGUAAAAAUAGUAAUUCAAAAAAGAGUAUGGUUUUGUCUGUGAUUCCUGUUCUUCUAUGCCCUGCGAUAAAAGUUUGACAAGAACAGAUAAUCAUCAGACAUGUGCCUGGUUUUCUUGGUGAUUCAAAUUUCAGUCGUGUAUAAAUUGAACAACUUUUGUGUUUAAGUACAAAGUGACUUUCAAAUUAUCAUACAUGUACACUGUAGUGUAUAGUCUACAAUGGCAUAUAAUACACAUGAUAUACUGUAUAUUGUACAUUAGACACAGUGUGUUCACUAAUACAAAAUGGACUUUGGGUAUUUUUAUUUUACUGUGCUUUUUCUGUGAUUGUAUUCAUAACUGACCUGCAAUUUAAACAGUGAUUUUGCAGCCAAGUAUUCCUUUGAAAUGUUUACCAAGUCCUCAAUAUGUGCAUGUUAGAGCUGAUGAUUUCAAGAUAUCAGUGUUAGCCUUCAAGAGGUUUGAAAAGUCAGUAGUGACAGUGGAUGCAAGUUACUUUACCAAACAACUUCUAUGGUAGGUUCUGAAUUAUGGGUUUUGCCUUUAAAGUUGUUUACCAUUGAUGAAACAUUUUUCCAGCUUUGUGUUAGCAGAAAUUUUUUUUUCUUGACAAUAUUUUUCUUAUUUUUAAUGUUUGCCUGACAGCCCCUUUUAAAUUUGUUUGAUUUAUUCAUGUACUCAUUUAAUUUCUGUCUGGGGCCCGGACAGAUUUUGCAAGACCGAUAUUAGGCCCCCCAAAAAGGUCUCGAGUUUCUGGUGAGGAAGUUGGCUCCAAAAGUGGUAUAGUGAUGCAGCUUUUUUUUUUUUUUUGAACUGAUGUGUGAUAACGCACGAUGUCUUCCGAUGUGCACCGACACUUAUAUAGACUGGCGCCUGCAAUUUUACAGUUUAAAAGCAUUUUCAGCUUGUACGUGUACACGGGACAUGAGACCACCUUGUUUGUCUGGUUACCGGAUGCAAACAUAUAAAACAGAAAUGACGUCAUCUGAAAAGAGUGUCCAAUUAAACGACUGGGGAUUCAGUUUCCUUAACUUGUACAUAUUACUCGACUGUACCCCAUCAAAAACACGUUAAAUUUAUGCAGUAGCAGGAUUCCACUUGAUUAAGCAAGUUUGGCAGCUUUUCAACAUCAUUUAUACCAAAUAAAAAACUUAUUUGGCUGAUGCGCAGGUCUACGUCAACACGUGAGCUAACCAGAAGCUGGGACUUUUUUUGGCCAUACCCGACUUUUUAGAAUACUUCAUUUGUUGUGUUUUUUUUUUUUUUUUCAUUUAAAAAUGCAAACUAAAAAAAACCCGGGAACUCCAAACCAGUAAUCAAUGGUAGACAACGUGUCCAACACUGAUAAAAGAUUCUCGGAUUACAUUUGCUGGAAAGGAAAUAGUGUGUAUAUUGCUUACGUUUUACAUGAUGUGCCAUUGUAGACUUUGUUUUAAUUUGUUUAUAACAAGCUUCCGGUUCUGAAUGGUGUCUUCUUUCCUGUAGGGGGUCUGCUGUCCAUUUCGCAAGUUUCCAAGCAUGCAGUUAGAGCCUUGCAGUUAACUUUCUAUUUCUGCAUCAAGUUGGCAGUGUUUGAAAACAUUUAUGUUUAUAGUUACACUGUUCACCAUUUGGCCAUUAAAUCUGUAUGCGCCUGUGUAACAGGGUUUUAUUUCUAAAUGUAACACUUGACGGCAAAUGUUCAUCUUGGAACCAUUAAGAGUUACAUGUAUGUUGCACUGUAGUUGGAACUUUGGCAAAGUAUCUGUUCUGCAAAUAUUUUUCUUACUGCAGAAAUCUGAAAUGGACAGCAGGUCUUAUGUCUUGAACUUCUGCUUUCCCCUCUAUGCCCCAAUGAACACACUGCAUCAAAUGUAAAAACAAUUGAGAUUUUUUCCCUAUCAAUGUAUGUUGAAUUUACAGUAGUCUUUCUGAAAUUAAGAAACUCCUUAAAAGACCUUUUUAUGUGUCUGUAGAGGGCGCUAUAUAAAAGUGAACAUUACUUGUUAAAACUUGAUGCAGCGUGUUCAUAAAAGACCAUUGACAAAUUAAUUUAACCAGAAGUGGGCCAAACAGUGGGUGGGGAUUAAGCAGACUGGGCAUGGUGAGUAAAUUUUUAAGACCAAAAUAUGGAUACAUGAAACAAGCGGGUUAUAUCAGUUUGUUUUGUUGAAACUUUUGGCAAUCCAUUGGGUGAUGCUUAAAGAAAAUAGUUUCAAUAAAGUCUUUAUUCCAA